rnacentral:rRNA from 1 species
UACGUAGGGACCAAGCGUUGUUCGGAUUUACUGGGCGUAAAGGGCGCGUAGGCGGCUUGACAAGUCACUUGUGAAAUCUCCGGGCUUAACUCGGAACUGCCAAGUGAAACUGCUGGGCUAGAGUGCAGAAGGGGCAAUCGGAAUUCUUGGUGUAGCGGUGAAAUGCGUAGAUAUCAAGAGGAACACCUGAGGUGAAGACGGGUUGCUGGGCUGACACUGACGCUGAGGCGCGAAAGCCAGGGGAGCAAACGGG